UACGUAGGGUGCGAGCGUUAAUCGGAAUUACUGGGCGUAAAGCGUGCGCAGGCGGUUCGUUAUGUCCGAUGUGAAAGCCCCGAGCUUAACUUGGGAAUGGCAUUGGAAACUGGCGGGCUGGAGUGCGGCAGAGGGGGGUGGAAUUCCACGUGUAGCAGUGAAAUGCGUAGAGAUGUGGAGGAACACCGAUGGCGAAGGCAGCCCCCUGGGCCGACACUGACGCUCAGGCACGAAAGCGUGGGGAUCAAACAGG
rnacentral:rRNA from 1 species